rnacentral:rRNA from 1 species
AUUGAACGCUGGCGGCAGGCUUAACACAUGCAAGUCGAGCGGGGUGAUGGUGCUUGCACUAUCACUUAGCGGCGGACGGGUGAGUAAUGCUUAGGAAUCUGCCUAUUAGUGGGGGACAACAUCUCGAAAGGGAUGCUAAUACCGCAUACGUCCUACGGGAGAAAGCAGGGGAUCACUUGUGACCUUGCGCUAAUAGAUGAGCCUAAGUCGGAUUAGCUAGUUGGUGGGGUAAAGGCCUACCAAGGCGACGAUCAGUAGCGGGUCUGAGAGGAUGAUCCGCCACACUGGGACUGAGACACGGCCCAGGCUACUACGGGAGGCAGCAGUGGGGAAUAUUGGACAAUGGGGGGAACCCUGAUCCAGCCAUGCCGCGUGUGUGAAGAAGGCCUUAUGGUUGUAAAGCACUUUAAGCGAGGAGGAGGCUCUUUUGGUUAAUACCCAAGAUGAGUGGACGUUACUCGCAGAAUAAGCACCGGCUAACUCUGUGCCAGCCGCCGCGGUAA